UCCUCUGCCCACACCCUUUGCCCGUCUUUUUCCAAUGAACAGUCGCGUUUGCGUUUUUUCUCUCUGUUUCGCUUCCUCACCGUUUUCAAUCCGUGUCUUUCUCCGAUUUUCCAGUUCCUUUUUCCUAGCUCUCAUCGUGUCUGGCUUUCGGCCGUCUGACUCGCCCCUCACUUAGACGGUGACGAACCCACCCUUCGCCAAACCGUUUGCAGCUGCCCCGUUUCCUAAGCCUCACCUGAUUGUGCGCGCACCGACUGUAUGUACCAACGUUCUUCGAAAUCUAGCAAACUCGCACAAUCAGCAAGAAUGAGAAAAUGCUCUAUUGUUGAUAUUAUGAUCACUGAAACAUGGAUCUGGUGAAUCCAUUGGAAUCAGCUGUUUUUAUCUUCAUUGUAAAGAGAUUUCCGGUAAAACUGAGUUAUCAGAGGAAAUCUGGGGAUAAAGGUACGUCAUGGGUGCGCUGACCAAAUGAUUUUCGUCGAUAGUGAUUUGUUGCAUUGAAAAGGAUCUUCUUUCUUAUAAGUUAUAAUUAUUCUUAUAAUUAUUCUUUCUAAACUCAAACAGUUCUCAAUGAUAAAAUUGCGUUCGAGAGACAGAAAAUUGACAUCCAAUUUGGCGUGAAUUCGAAGUAUCCAUUAUUUAAAUUCACGAAAUUUAUGGCAGGGUAAAUUCGCCGAAUCAGUCAAUAUUCCUAUUAUCUAAAUAUCUCAUUUCUGUGCAAGGAUUUCGUAAAGUACAUACAAUUCCAAGAAGAAAAGCGUCGGCUUUUAUGCGCCCUUCUGUUCCUCAUGAUCUUCCAUGCACAAAAUGCAAAUAUAUUUUUUUAAAUAUAUAUUCGAUGGAUCUACGUAAAACUGUCUUUCAAAAACAGAAAUCAGUUCGACUAUGAUUUCUUUCACAGAUUUAUUUUACAUCGAAAUCCUACGCAACUGUUAGUCGCGUUUGUUCACAAAUUGAAUUGUAAAAAAUUCGAAAAACAGAUACGUGACAUUUAAAGAAGGAAAAGAGGGUUCCAGUUAACAGAAUGAAAGAGAAUUAAAUGGGAGAGUGAAAUGAAAAGGUAAAGCGUAUUGAAAGGACAAUGAAUACUGAAAACGACCUAAUAAACUUGGUGAUGUAACGCAAAAGAACAAUGUUGAUCGAGUGAUAUUAAUGUGAACUAUGAACUUCAACUAACGACCACGAGUCACCAACCAACGCAAUGUGUACUUUUCCCUUCAACCAAUCUCUGUAACUAGAGACGAUCGGAUGAAGUUGAAUUGCAUUUACGGCAUUACUGCUACUCACACCCUUUUGCGGUACCUUUCCUCGAGGAUCCUCAUUAAACGUUGCAAACACGAGCGAGUGUAAAAUACGUAGCAAGUUAAAACCGCGAAUUGCUAGUUAUUUCGUUAGAAAUGUUUGCACACCAGUAAUUUUCGUUUGGCAAAAAAUUUUUUAUACCGUACUAAUGUCAAGACAGUUAAACUUGUACCAAAAUUCUCUUAAGUAUUAACAAUAUCUUACAAGCUCUUUUUUACGAAAUAAAAUUACAAUUAAAAUUUCGUGUAUUGAUAGAAAUAAGAAAUGGCAUAUUCAAUAACUCAUUUAAUAAUUUUAUUAAAACAAGAUGUCUAUGAAUUAGAUACAUGAUGGAGAUGAUUAAAUUGUAAAAUUCUUGUAUUUUGACGAGCAAAUAUGUAUUUCUGCUAGACUUUAGAAUUACAUCAAUAAUAGUGUAUAAUAUUAAAUGGUAAUCUUCAACAAGUAUGAAAAUACGUUUUCUCCAUUAAACCAGCUACAAACUAGAAGUGAACUACAUGAAACGUUAACGAUUUCAUAAUUAAGUUCAUAUUUUUUUUAACAGUGGAUUUCUUACUUUCAAAGAAUGAAUGAGCUUUUUCGGAUCGAGCACAAAGAUGAGAUUUGAGAAUUGGAACCCAGCCAGAAGAACGCAAAUAAAUGACAUCAUCCCCGUGGCCACCGCAUCAACCCUUGUAAUUAUGAUCGCAAACAGGAGUAGGUAGGUCGAUUGCGCGCGCGAUUCAAGGUACGAUACGAGUCCCUCCGCCCCCGCUGAUGAAUUUACAUAGUCUUAAUUUUAUCAAUAUAACGGGUGAACUAUCGAUAAACAGAUUACCGACAAGCAUCCGCUACCCUAGGCAGAGAUUAUUGCGACCGCAAAUAAGAGAAACGCGAAUUUAGCCGAUAAAGCAAUACGCUUUAAUUUAGUUUUCCAGAUAUCGGAUCUCGAACGCAGGAUGCUGCAAUUACGCGAUUCAGUGCUAACUUUGCCUAAUAGUCUUGUUCUCUCUAAUAUUAUUACGUAUAGGUAUUAGAUUGUGGAUUAAAUCGAAGUUAUGUAAAUCUGGCUGCAUUUUUACAUCUAUGCGAGUGCUUCUUAACUAUGGAACAUUGGAUUUUUAAAAUACCAGCUAAAACUACUGCAGUUAAAAACGAACGCAUCGCUUAGUCAAAAAUAUUCAUUUUCGCCGGAAUGCAUUUUUAAAGUGCAAACAGAAUUCACAUGCACAUCCACGUGUCGUCCGCCGACGCGGUGGAUGGAGAGGAAAGAAGAAACCAGUCGUGAGCAUGCUUUAUGUCCGGAUGUCAUGAAGCGAACGAAGUUUUAUCAAUCGCAGAACUAAAUAAAAAAAAUGUGCAACUCCGAUGUACAAUUAUUAAUAAUAAAUGCAUGUAUCUCAUGAAAUUGCCAUGUAAUUUGUAUAAAGUCAAACGUGAAAAUAAAAUAUUCUC